rnacentral:RNase_P_RNA from 1 species
AGAGUAGGUUGAAUGGUCGCACUUUUAUUAAAAAAGUGAGGAAAGUCCGGGCUUCAUAGAGCAGGGUGCCAGUUAACGGCUGGUGGAGGCGACUCUAAGGAAAGUGCAACAGAGAUAAACCGCCUAUAUAUCAUAUGGGUAAGGGUGGAAAGGUAAGGUAAGAGCUUACCGCUUUGCUGGUAACAGCUAAGGCUAUGUAAACCCCACUUGAAGCAAGGCGAAAGGAACAAAUAAAGGAUGGCUCGUUCUGUUCCGCAAAAAAGCCGCAUGAUGAUACUGGUGACAGUAUACCAAGAUAGAUGACCAUUCACGACAGAACCCGGCUUAUAGACUUGCUCAAUAU